UACGUAGGUGGCAAGCGUUGUCCGGAUUUACUGGGCGUAAAGAGCGCGCAGGCGGUCGUACAAGUCGCGUGUGAAAGCCCCCGGCUCAACUGGGGAGGGUCACGCGAUACUGUUCGACUCGAAGGCAGGAGAGGGUAGUGGAAUUCCCGGUGUAGUGGUGAAAUGCGUAGAUAUCGGGAGGAACACCAGUGGCGAAGGCGACUACCUGGCCUGUUCUUGACGCUGAGGAGCGAAAGUGUGGGGAGCGAACAGG
rnacentral:rRNA from 1 species